GACGAACGCUGGCGGCGUGCCUAAUACAUGCAAGUAGAACGCACAGUUUAUACCGUAGCUUGCUACACCAUAGACUGUGAGUUGCGAACGGGUGAGUAACGCGUAGGUAACCUGCCUGGUAGCGGGGGAUAACUAUUGGAAACGAUAGCUAAUACCGCGUAAUAUUGAUUAUUGCAUGAUAAUUGAUUGAAAGAUGCUAUUGCAUCACUACCAGAUGGACCUGCGUUGUAUUAGCUAGUAGGUGAGGUAACGGCUCACCUAGGCGACGAUACAUAGCCGACCUGAGAGGGUGAUCGGCCACACUGGGACUGGGGCACGGCCCAGACUCCUGCGGGAGGCAGCAGUAGGGGAUCUUCGGCAAUGGACGAAAGUCUGACCGAGCAACGCCGCGUGAGUGAAGAAGGUUUUCGGAUCGUAAAGCUCUGUUGUAAGAGAAGAACGGGUGUGAGAGUGGAAAGUUCACACUGUGACGGUAUCUUACCAGAAAGGGACGGCUAACUACGUG
rnacentral:rRNA from 1 species